rnacentral:tRNA from 2 species
GGCGGGGUAGCUCAGUUGGUCAGAGCGCACGGCUCAUAAUCGUGAGGUCACGGGUUCGAACCCCGUCCCCGCUA